AUCCAGCUGACCAGUCCCAAAUAGGACGAAACGCGCGUCCUGAAU
rfam:Schistosoma mansoni strain Puerto Rico chromosome 2, complete genome